rnacentral:rRNA from 1 species
GGUUAAGCGACUAAGCGUACACGGUGGAUGCCCUGGCAGUCAGAGGCGAUGAAGGACGUGCUAAUCUGCGAAAAGCGCCGGCGAGGUGAUAUGAACCCUUGACCCGGCGAUGUCCGAAUGGGGAAACCCAGUGUGUUUCGACACACUAUCGUUAACUGAAUACAUAGGUUAACGAGGCGAACCGGGGGAACUGAAACAUCUAAGUACCCCGAGGAAAAGAAAUCAACCGAGAUUCCCCCAGUAGCGGCGAGCGAACGGGGAGCAGCCCGGAGUCUGAAUCAGCUUGUGUGUUAGUGGAACGGUCUGGAAAGUCCGACGGUACAGGGUGAUAGUCCCGUACACGAAAACACACUUGCUGUGAACUCGAAGAGUAGGGCGGGACACGUGGUAUCCUGUCUGAAUAUGGGGGGACCAUCCUCCAAGGCUAAAUACUCCUGACUGACCGAUAGUGAACCAGUACCGUGAGGGAAAGGCGAAAAGAACCCCGGCGAGGGGAGUGAAAAAGAACCUGAAACCGUGUACGUACAAGCAGUGGGAGCACCUUCGGGUGUGACUGCGUACCUUUUGUAUAAUGGGUCAGCGACUUAUAUUCUGUAGCAAGGUUAACCGUAUAGGGGAGCCGAAGGGAAACCGAGUCUUAACUGGGCGUUAAGUUGCAGGGUAUAGACCCGAAACCCGGUGAUCUAGCCAUGGGCAGGUUGAAGGUUGGGUAACACUAACUGGAGGACCGAACCGACUAAUGUUGAAAAAUUAGCGGAUGACCUGUGGCUGGGGGUGAAAGGCCAAUCAAACCGGGAGAUAGCUGGUUCUCCCCGAAAGCUAUUUAGGUAGCGCCUCGUGAACUCAUCUUCGGGGGUAGAGCACUGUUUCGGCUAGGGGGCCAUCCCGGCUUACCAACCCGAUGCAAACUACGAAUACCGAAGAAUGUUAUCACGGGAGACACACGGCGGGUGCUAACGUCCGUCGUGAAGAGGGAAACAACCCAGACCGCCAGCUAAGGUCCCAAAGUCAUGGUUAAGUGGGAAACGAUGUGGGAAGGCACAGACAGCCAGGAUGUUGGCUUAGAAGCAGCCAUCAUUUAAAGAAAGCGUAAUAGCUCACUGGUCGAGUCGGCCUGCGCGGAAGAUGUAACGGGGCUAAACCAUGCACCGAAGCUGCGGCAGCGACACUAUGUGUUGUUGGGUAGGGGAGCGUUCUGUAAGCCGUUGAAGGUGUGCUGUGAGGCAUGCUGGAGGUAUCAGAAGUGCGAAUGCUGACAUAAGUAACGAUAAAGCGGGUGAAAAGCCCGCUCGCCGGAAGACCAAGGGUUCCUGUCCAACGUUAAUCGGGGCAGGGUGAGUCGACCCCUAAGGCGAGGCCGAAAGGCGUAGUCGAUGGGAAACAGGUUAAUAUUCCUGUACUUGGUGUUACUGCGAAGGGGGGACGGAGAAGGCUAUGUCAGCCGGGCGACGGUUGUCCCGGUUUAAGCAUGUAGGCGGAGGUUCCAGGUAAAUCCGGUACCUUUUAACGCUGAGGUGUGAUGACGAGGCACUACGGUGCUGAAGUGAUAAAUGCCCUGCUUCCAGGAAAAGCCUCUAAGCAUCAGGUAACACGAAAUCGUACCCCAAACCGACACAGGUGGUCAGGUAGAGAAUACCAAGGCGCUUGAGAGAACUCGGGUGAAGGAACUAGGCAAAAUGGUGCCGUAACUUCGGGAGAAGGCACGCUGAUAUGUAGGUGAAGCCCCUGCGGACGGAGCUGAAAUCAGUCGAAGAUACCAGCUGGCUGCAACUGUUUAUUAAAAACACAGCACUGUGCAAACACGAAAGUGGACGUAUACGGUGUGACGCCUGCCCGGUGCCGGAAGGUUAAUUGAUGGGGUUAGCGGCAACGCGAAGCUCUUGAUCGAAGCCCCGGUAAACGGCGGCCGUAACUAUAACGGUCCUAAGGUAGCGAAAUUCCUUGUCGGGUAAGUUCCGACCUGCACGAAUGGCGUAAUGAUGGCCAGGCUGUCUCCACCCGAGACUCAGUGAAAUUGAACUCGCUGUGAAGAUGCAGUGUACCCGCGGCAAGACGGAAAGACCCCGUGAACCUUUACUAUAGCUUGACACUGAACACUGGUCCUUGAUGUGUAGGAUAGGUGGGAGGCUUUGAAGCGUGGACGCCAGUCUGCGUGGAGCCGUCCUUGAAAUACCACCCUUUAAUGGCUGGUGUUCUAACGUAGACCCGUGAUCCGGGUUGCGGACAGUGUCUGGUGGGUAGUUUGACUGGGGCGGUCUCCUCCCAAAGAGUAACGGAGGAGCACGAAGGUUGGCUAAUCCUGGUCGGACAUCAGGAGGUUAGUGCAAUGGCAUAAGCCAGCUUGACUGCGAGCGUGACGGCGCGAGCAGGUGCGAAAGCAGGUCAUAGUGAUCCGGUGGUUCUGAAUGGAAGGGCCAUCGCUCAACGGAUAAAAGGUACUCCGGGGAUAACAGGCUGAUACCGCCCAAGAGUUCAUAUCGACGGCGGUGUUUGGCACCUCGAUGUCGGCUCAUCACAUCCUGGGGCUGAAGUAGGUCCCAAGGGUAUGGCUGUUCGCCAUUUAAAGUGGUACGCGAGCUGGGUUUAGAACGUCGUGAGACAGUUCGGUCCCUAUCUGCCGUGGGCGCUGGAGAAUUGAGGGGGGCUGCUCCUAGUACGAGAGGACCGGAGUGGACGCAUCACUGGUGUUCGGGUUGUCAUGCCAAUGGCACUGCCCGGUAGCUAAAUGCGGAAGAGAUAAGUGCUGAAAGCAUCUAAGCACGAAACUUGCCCCGAGAUGAGUUCUCCCUGAGACUUUAAGUCUCCUGAAGGAACGUUGAAGACGACGACGUUGAUAGGUCGGGUGUGUAAGCGCAGCGAUGCGUUGAGCUAACCGAUACUAAUGAACCGUGAGGCUUAACCUU